AGUCUGACGAAUGUAGGACUCCUAAUUAGUCACCGAGGUCUUUCUCUUGAUCUACUGUAUAAGAAGACUUUAAAGUAGCCAAUUCAGCCCCUGCUUCCAUCCUACAGUAAGACAUGUUGAGAGCUCGUUUGAAGAGAUGUUCUUUAUCCUCGCUGAAACAGGGGCCUCCACACCCUACAUCUGACUGCCGUUCCAUCAGAAGAAGGAAAGGCCAGGAGGUGCCUGACAUCACUGACUUGCCUUUGAUGCCCAUCAGCCAAAAGAUGUUGUUCAUCUCUAAGCAUGAACAAUACAAUGAAGCUGAAUUUUCCAGGCAACCAGAGUGAGUUCUCUGAAGAGGCCACUAACCUAGAUGCUUGCCCUUGUCCUCAUACCUUGAACUCUGCCUCCCAGCUGAGUUGGACAUCCUGUCAGCCCAGGCCCAUCCUCCAUUAGCUGCCCACCCAGGUAGGGGCCC